rnacentral:siRNA from 1 species
CCGCUACCACCCGCAGACGCUGC